GUACCCUGAGUACCGCGGGACACGUGAAAUCCCGUGGGAAUCUACGAGGACCAUCUCGUAAGGCUAAAUACUCUCUAGCGACCGAUAGUGAACCAGUACCGUGAGGGAAAGGCGAAAAGAACCCCUGUGAGGGGAGUGAAAUAGAUCCUGAAACCGCAUGCAUACAAGCAGUGGGAGCCGACUUGUUCGGUGACUGCGUACCUUUUGUAUAAUGGGUCAGCGACUUACAUUCAGUAGCGAGGUUAACCGCAUAGGGGAGCCGUAGAGAAAUCGAGUCUUAAUAGGGCGUUUAGUUGCUGGGUGUAGACCCGAAACCGGG
rnacentral:rRNA from 1 species